AGUUAUUAUGUGAACUUUAAAAGAAGCAAGGUAAGAAAGAGAUUUUAACAUUUUGUUUUUCUCUGUGUCUCGACGUGAAAAAUCAUAUCAAAUGAUAAAAUCUUUAAAUAUUAAAAAAAAAAGACCAACACCACCAUUAAAUAACAUUUAACAGGUGUUUAAACAUGCACAACUUGCCAGAGAGUUUUACAUGUAGAAUGUGGGCAGAAUACGGAAUAAGAAAUCAAUGACGCAUAUCAUGUAGCAUGUAUGAUCAUAUAUCUAAGACGCAAGUAUACAUUGAACAACUUUCGUUUCUGUGCACACUGCCACUGUUGCACUUUUUUUUAAAGUAAAUCCCUCCAAUGUGAGCACAUAUACAUGCCAUAUAGCUGAAUUUGUUAAUAACGGAAACGUAGGAAAAAAUACAUUAAUUCAUAACUAAAAUGCUGCAUACAAGUUUUAUUAUUUUUCACCAUUUAUGUGUAUUGUAUCAAUGUAUGUCCUGUAUCUUCUUCCUUUAAUAGGAGCACCACCCACAGGAGUUUGAAAUCCUAUCAAUAAGGGGGUAAAAAUAUACCAAAGUCGACUAUCACAGUAGAAGCUCUACUGUGAUAGUCGACUUUGGUAUAUUGUUUUCUUCGAGAGAAGCUCUACUGUGCUAGGUUUUUGUGUAGGAUUACAUAUUGUUCGCCAUGAAAUUAUGUCCAUCCGACACUUUUUCACAAUAAAUUGUGUCCCAAGAAUUUAAUGUUGUUAUAAAAUAUUGUCUGGACAAUAGUUACCUGAGAUAACAGUCAAGGGUCUAACUUAAAUAAGUUAUUAGAGAAAAUAACACAUAAGACAAACACAAAAACAAUCUGCAGGACAAAGAAGAAAAGGUAGAGAGGCUAAAAUUCUGUCGACCCCUUAUUGCUCUUAAAACAACAAUGUUAACCCAUUUUUAAGUUCUUUGUUUAUAAACAAUAUUUGAUAGAGAGAAACUGAAAUAAAGAAAUAAAGAUCAUCAGGACAAGAUCUACAAAUAAGGUAAAAUGAUAUUUGUACAGGUCAGAGUUAUCUUUCUUUGCUAUUUUCAUAGUAUAGUGUGUGGGUCUUUUAUAUGAUAAAAAGUUAUUUUGAUGAUGUUACCUUAAACCUUUGAUAAAGAAUCUACAUAUCUUUACAACCGAGUGCUUGUUAUACUCAUGCCUAUUUCCACUCGGUUUCAUAUCAACAUCACUGGAGCCUCUAGUUACUAUCACUAUAUCAUUUUCAUGUUUCAGUGACAUCUUUUUUUUUUUGCAGGAACACUUGAACCAUUAAGUAACAAUGAUAUAGGUUUCUAUUGUAAAGCCAAUCUGAAAUCAUGGCUUCUCUUUCUGAAGAAGAGGAGAAUUAUGUCCGGUUAGCCUUGUUAUUGAAAGGAGUGACACCUAGAGCAGUCCGUACCUAUUUUGACAGAGAAUUUUCACCUACCUCUCUACCCUCAACACUGAGUACAAGCCACAACACUCUUUUGGACUUAAAAAUAAAGAGAAUCAUAAACCAGGCUCAGUGGAAUCUUUUGAUUCCAAGAAAUGGUAGGUCUUUAUGUGACUGCAGAAUUUUUGUUAAUUAAGAUUGUAUUCACAUGUGGUUCAUUUUUUUUUCUGGUGAUGGCUACAAAACAAAAAAAAUAUUAUUUAUGAAUGAACAUCUUCAAUAUUUUUCUUACUACUAUUUUUUUUUACAUACUUGUUGCUUUUAAGUUAAGUUUACUUCUGUAUUGAUGGCCUAGAUGUAUAAAGGAACAACACAUGAGUGAGUGUGUUUUAUGUAUCGAUGGCGUAGAUGUAAAAAGGAACAACACUUUAGUGAGUGUGUUCAAUGUAUCGAUGGCCUAGAUGUAUAAAGGAACAACGCUUGAUGGAGUGUGACCUAUGUAUCGAUGGCCUAGAUGUUUAAAGAAACAACACUUGAGUGAGUGUGUUCUAUGUAUCGACGGCCUAGAUGUUUAAAGAAACAACACUUGAGUGAGUGUGUUCUAUGUAUCGAUGGCCUAGAUGUAUAAAGAAACAAUACUUGAGUGAGUGUAUUCUAUGUAUCGAUGGCCUAGAUGUUUAAAGAAACAAUACUUGAGUGAGUGUAUUCUAUGUAUCGAUGGCCUAGAUGUUUAAAGAAACAACACUUGAGUGAGUGUGUUCUAUGUAUCGAUGGCCUAGAUGUAUAAAGGAACAACACUUGAGUGAGGGUGUUCUAUGUAUCGAUGGCCUAGAUGUAUAAAGGAACAACACUUGAGUGAGUGUGUUCUAUGUAACGAUGGCCUAGAUGUAUAAAGAACAACACUUGAGUGAGGUGUUCUAUGUAUCGAUGGCCUAGAUGUAUAAAGGAACAACACUUGAGUGAGUGUGUUCUAUGUAACGAUGGCCUAGAUGUAUAAAGGAACAACACUUGAGUGAGUGUGUUCUAUGUAACGAUGGCCUAGAUGUAUAAAGGAACAACACUUGAGUGAGGGUGUUCUAUGUAUCCAUGGCCUAGAUGUAUAAAGGAACAACACUUGAGUGAGUGUGUUCUAUGUAUCGAUGGCGUAGAUGUAUAAAGGAACAACACUUGAGUGAGUGUGUUCUAUGUAUCGAUGGCGUAGAUGUAUAAAGGAACAAAACUUGAGUGAGUGUGUUCUCUGUAUCGAUGGCCUAGAUGUAUAAAGGAACAACACUUGAGUGAGUGUGUUCUAUGUAUCAAUGGCCUAGAUGUAUAAAGAAACAACACUUGAGUGAGUGUGUUCUAUGUAUCGAUGGCGUAGAUGUAUAAAGAAACAACACUUGAGUGAGUGAGUUCUAUGUAUCGAUGGCCUAGAUGUAUAAAGGAACAACACUUGAGUGAGUGAGUUCUAUGUAUCGAUGGACUAGAUGUAUAAAGGAACAACACUUGAGUGAGUGUGUUCUAUGUAUCGAUGGCCUAGAUGUAUAAAGAAACAACACUUGAGUGAGUGUGUUCAAUGUAUCGAUGGCCUAGAUGUAUAAAGGAACAACACUUGAGUGAGUGUGUUCUAUGUAUCGAUGGCUUAGAUGUAUAAAGGAACAACACUUGAGUGAGUGUGUUCUAUGUAUCGAUGGCCUAGAUGUAUAAAGUAACAACACUUGAUGGAGUGUGUUCUAUGUAUCGAUGGCCUAGAUGUAUAAAGUAACAACACUUGAUGGAGUGUGUUCUAUGUAUCGAUGGCCUAGAUGUAUAAAGGAACAACACUUGAUGGAGUGUGUUCUAUGUAUCGAUGGCCUAGAUGUAUAAAGGAACAACACUUGAGUGAGUCUGUUCUAUGUAUCGAUGGCCUAGAUGUAUAAAGGAACAACACUUGAGUGAGUAUGUUCUAUGUAUCGAUGGCGUAGAUGUAUAAAGGAACAAAAAUUGAGUGAGUGUGUUCUAUGUAUCGAUGGCCUAGAUGUAUAAAGGAACAACACUUGAGUGAGUGUGUUCUAUGUUGAAACCAUGAAAUUGGUUGCAGUCAGGUGCAUUACUUAUAGAAGUGACUUUUCAAAUGUACCGUUACACAAAUUCAUUAUUCCUGAAAUAUAAAUAAGAAUAUCGAGGUAGUAGUGGCACAUCUCAUUACCAUGGAGAUUUAUUUGGCCCUGCCCCCUAAGUCAUGGUCUAUUGACUUCGAAACUUGAACCUUAGUUUACAUGUAUUAGUUUGUGAUUAGGUCAGUUUAUAGGGAACCACUAGUGGUAGGUCAAUGAUAUUUGGUAUGCAGUUGUAUAAGCAUUGGCAUAUCUCAUUUCCAUGGAGAUUAUUUUGCCCCACCCCCCUCAGUCAUGGUCAAUUGACUUUGAAACUUUUGCUUAAUAGUUUAUAUGUAUUAGUUUGUGAUUAGGUCAGUUUAAGAUGAACCACUAAUGUCAUGAAUGUUAAGUCAAUGAUAUUUUGUAUGCAAAUGUAUUGGCAUUUGCAAGUUUCAUUUCCAUGAAGAUUAUAUAACCCCACACCCUCAUUAUAGUUCAUUGACUUUUACAUAGUUUACAAGUUUAUGUUUGUUUAAAGGGAACGACUUAUGAGAUGUCAGUGACCGAGUAUAUACAAAUUUGGUAUGCAGUUGUAUUAGUAUUGGCACAUCUCAUUUCCAUGGAGAUUGUUUAGCCCUGUACCUUCAGUAAUGGUUCAUUGACUUUGAAUAUUUGCAUAACUUACAUUAAAGUAGUGCUAUUUUAAUUUCAACAUUUGCGUUAUCAAAAUAACAAAUAGGCGAGACAUAUCCCUGUGUUAACAGUUCAUUUUGUUAUGUGAAAUACUCACUUAUUAUGCAUGUUAUAAGUCAGGCCAUAAUAGAUAAUAGGUUUGUUUGCCCAAACGCUACCUACCCAGAAAAAAGCUGCCUACUCAAAUUCUUUUAUUGUCCUGAUUUGAAGAAGUUUUUUUAAUCAAAUAGGCAUGAAGACUAAUAAACCAAAAAGAAAAAGAAAAUGCCUACCUACCUACCCACUAUCUCAACCUUUGGGUAGGGUUUGGGUAAAUCAAACUAUUUUUAUGUGUGGCCUCAUAUAAUAACUUUAUUUGGUAUAUUGGUUCCUCGCAACGUCCACAUGUUCGUCAGGUAGGGUUCAUCUGACCUUGGCCUUAUUCCAUGGAUCAGUGAUCAAUGUUAAAGUUAUGGGGUCAAUAUAAGCAAGAAGAUGUGGUAUGAUUGCCAAUGAGACAACUAUCCACAAAAGACCAACAUGACACAGACAUUAACAACUAUAGGUCACCGUACGGCCUUCAACAAUGAGCAAAGCCCAUACCGCAUAGUCAUCUAUAAAACGUCCCGAUAGGACAAUGUAAAACAAUUCAAACGAGAAAACUAACGGCCUUAUUUAUGUAAAAAAUUAACGAAAAACAAUUAUGUAACACAUAAACAAACGACAACCACUGAAUAUACAGGCUCCUGACUUGGGACAGGAACAUACAUAAAUAAUGUGGCGGGGUUAAACAUGUUAGGUCUGUAUCUCAGAUACUAUCAAUAGGUCUACUAUAAUUGGUGUAUCAUGUGUAUGGAAUGAUUGUGAGGUGUGCUUGUCCGAUUGACGGGAUUCAUCUGACCUUUAUCAGUGUGUAUUGGAUGAUUGCGGGAUUAAUUGUAAAGUGUACAUGUCUGUCUUGAAUGAUUCAUCAGACCGUGACCUCGUUUGCAUAGAACAUUGAUAAUGUUAAGUUUAUGUGAUACUUGUAAAGUCAAGGGAAUAACUUAUUAAUAAAUAAGUUAUUACAUGUAUUAGGAAAAAUAACAUAUGAUACAUGUCGUUAUAUUAUGUGGGCUAAAAUAUAAAAAAAACUGUGAUAACAUAUGUAUGUUACAUGUUUCAAAGUGGCAAUAGUUAUAUCCUCGGUUUUUGUCGAGCCUGCGACUUUUGUUGCAGAAAGCUCGACAUAGGGAUAGUGAUACGGCGGCGGCGUUAGCUAACUUCUUAAAAGCUUUAUAUUUUAGAAGGUGGAAGACCUGGAUGCUUCAUACUUUGUAUAUGGAUGCCUCAUGUUAUGAAGUUUCCGUCAGUCUGUCAUUUGUUUCUGGUGGAUAGCUGUCUCGUUUGCAAUCAUACUCGAUCUUUUUAUUUUUAAUUUAUGUUAUUCUCUGUAUAGAUGUUCAAACUAUUUAUUCUUAAUAUAUAAAAUACACAAUUAUUAUAAUCUUAAAAAUAAAUAAAUUCCAGCAUACACCACGAGAGACAGAGAUGUUGUCUAACAAUCGGUUGAUUUAUUAUUGUGUUGUUAAAUAUCAGUAGCCCCCUGUCACGUAUGAUAUCGUUAAUUAUCGCGAGAUUUAAACUCAAACGCGCAUAAAAUUUCGAGAUCAGCGUUGAUUAGUAGCGUAUGUGAAACUGGUCUAUUGAAAAGAUCUGGAAAUAUUGUUUAUGAAAUAGUUUUACGGAACAAAAACCUACGUUUUAUGUGUAGCACUUCACACUAAAUAGAAAAAAGAAGGUGUGGUAUGAUUGCCAAUGAGACAACUCUUCACAAGAGACAAAAUGACAAAGAAAUUAAUAACUAUAGGUCACGGUACAGCCUUCAACAAUGAGCAAAGCCCAUACCGCAUAGUCAGCUAUAAACAUGAUAAAUUAGGCCCCGAAAUGAAAAAUGUAAAACAACUCAAACGAGAAAACUAACAACCUAAUCUAUGUACAAAAAAUGAACGAAAAACAAAAAUAUAACACAGCAACAAACGACAACAACUGAAAUACAGGCUCCUGACUUGGGACAGGCACGUACAUACAGAAUGUGGGGUGGGGGUUAAACAUAUUAGCGGGAUCUCAACCCUACCCUAACCUGGGACAGUGGUGUAAUAGUACAACAUAAGAACGAACUAUAAAAUCAGUUGAAAAAGGCUUAACUCAGCCGAUGGGUACAAAUCGAAAUACAUCUAACAAAAACAAGUGGACGUGGCCGGGUACUUGUAUAUCCAAACAACUAAAAGACAUAAAGUACAGAUCUGAGAGUACUCGCAGGUACUGACAGCUAGUUCAAAGCCAGUAACAACUAAUGAGAAAUCAUGUAUCUAAGACUAAAUUAUUAAUCAUUACACAUCCAACAUCCAAUGGAUUUAGUGUCAAGAUGUCAUAAACAGUCAGAGAAAAAUACAACCUUGUGCAAUGCCAAGAUACAGGUGUCGAAAGCUUGUAGAUCCAUGAAUGUGCAUAUGUAUAUAACAAUAAUAUUUAGUUUGCUUUUAAUUUACUGAUAACAAAAUCAAUACUAAUACCAAUAAAACAGUAUUCAAACAUCUAACUACAGAGUUUAAUUGGUAACUUAAAGUUUAUUUACCUUUUUUGUCAUAAUUAGGUCUUUUCGUGGAAAGCCCUUUUGUUUUUCUUCUAAUUAUUUUUUUUUUCUUCUGCCGUCUGAGAUGCUUUUUUGUCUUACAACAUAUCGAAUGGAUUUUUUGGCCAAUGAUGUUGUACAGUAAUGGAGGUUUCAAAACUCACCCUGAGUGACCGAACACUUAUUCUUAUAAGAGUUAUCUCCCCGCGUCCCCUUUUUCUUGUUAUCGCUAUAUCUCUAAAACCGUAAAAGAUUUUAGCAAACUGUUUUCACCAAAUUGUUUGUCUACUCUUGAGAAUGAUUUGGUUCAUUUUGACUUUAGUGAACGGAAGACAUCUUAUGGGAGUUAUUAUUAAAGAUAGGUGAUUUGUUGGAUCAAUUCAUACGUUAUAAGUCGUAGAGGCCUACAGUUUUUUGAUAUGAAGUCCUUGGUCCAUUUGAAGGAAAUUCAGGUCAAGGUCAAAGGUCAAGGUCAUGUUCUAAAUUUUGAAUUUUGCUUGUUAUCGUUAUACCACAGAAACUGUGACAGUAAAUGAUAUGAUGUGUUUGCCAAAUAACUGUUUACAAUAAGGCGCAACUUCAACCUACUUCAGUCAAAGUGUUUUGGUUAACCCUUAUAGGAGUUUUCUCCCCUUAUGUAUUUGAAAUCAGUAUUUCUCCACAACCAUACAAAUGAUUGACCUGGGGUCUUUUGAUUUGAGAUCACUGACCUAUGACCUUGAAAUUGAAGUCAAGGUCAAAGGUCAAUUUGACAUUCUAGAUUUUCCCUUUAGUGAACGGAAGACAUCUUAUGGGAGUUAUUUGUCAAUAUUUUUAAAGUAAUAUUUUAUCUAAAAAUUAUUUCAAGUCUUCUGCAUACACCUAUUAGUUUUAUUUUUUAUAUCAAUUUGAAGAACCAAAUAACAUUAAAAAGGAGUGACAUUUUAUAACAUCAUUUUUUAAAUUUCAUUCUUAUUAUCGAGGUGGAAAGACCUUCAAUUGUUCUCUGAAGAAUUGGUUUUUAAUUCCAUAAGAUUUUAUUUUGAACCAUUUUGGAUAAGCUGUUUCAUUCGUAAAUACUUAACGGUGCGGUCCUAAUGAUAAAGACUUUAAAUAAAAAAUAAUAGAAGAUUACCACGAACAAUUUGAAAUUUUCUUGUUUCAUAGGUUGUACGAAAAUUUGUCAUCCAUUUAGAUAUCAAAAGUGGGGUUAACUGGCAAAAAAGACGAAACCAAUAUCUCGUCUUUCACUUUGGACUAGUCUGCUUCCCGAGUGGUAAACUGUAUUUUUUGUGCAAUAUGUUUAUUUUUCGCUCAUCCUGUAAUGACCAUUUAUGUCCUGAUUGUAAAUGAGCAUAAUCCCCCCCCCCCUUUUACGAACUUAUAUGAGGAUGACAUGCCUUGUAUGUUUAAAACAUCUGAGAAUAAAUGAUUGUCCCCAUAACAUAAAGAAUGAUGACAAAAAGGGGAGAGGAUCAAUAUUGUAAUAAAGCUGAAGUACACAGUAAUUCUAUACAUAUUUAUGUCUUAUAAAAAAAAUCAUACUGACUCACUCAGACUCGAAUCUUUCACACAAAAAUUCUGUAAGCAGGCUACAAAUUAAAAAACCUUGUCCUCUUAUACAUGUAAAUGAAAUUAUUGAUUAUUUCAAAGAUAUAAUAAUUUUUGUCAAUAUUUUUAAAGUAAUAUUUUAUCUGUAAUUAGUUUUACGUAGUUUUUAAAAUGGUAACCUUUUAACACUGAUUUUAGGACUUUAAGUGAUACACUUCUGUUGCUUUUGAUGUUACACAGGGGUUCCAGAUUCCAAAACUUUUGAUGUAACGUUGAUGAUCUGUUUAAUCAGAAACUUGACAUCUAUCAAUCCUCCAAUCAAUGGAUUUGACAGUCUACCACUACCAGGGGAAAUAACUCCAGGAUCUGAUCUAGCCAGGAUAAAAUGUUACAGGAAUAAACUAGCUCAUCAUGAUAGUAAUACAAUAGAUACUGCUUAUUUCAAAACAGCAUGGAGAGAUAUAUCAGAGGUAAGUUAGUUUCUACA
rnacentral:lncRNA from 1 species